rnacentral:rRNA from 1 species
AAAGGAAUUGACGGGGGCCCGCACAAGCGGUGGAGCAUGUGGUUUAAUUCGAUGCAACGCGAAGAACCUUACCAGGUCUUGACAUCCUACGGAUCUGUCUGAAAGGACGGAGUGCCUUCGGGAGCGUAGAGACAGGUGGUGCAUGGUUGUCGUCAGCUCGUGUCGUGAGAUGUUGGGUUAAGUCCCGCAACGAGCGCAACCCUUGCUAUUAGUUGCUAACAUUAAGAUGAGCACUCUAAUGGGACUGCCGGUGACAAGCCGGAGGAAGGUGGGGAUGACGUCAAAUCAUCAUGCCCUUUAUGACCUGGGCUACACACGUGCUACAAUGGAUGGUACAGAGAGCAGCAAGUCCGCGAGGCGAAGCGAAUCUCAAAAAGCCAUUCUCAGUUCGGAUUGGAGUCUGCAACUCGGCUCCAUGAAGUCGGAAUCGCUAGUAAUCGCGAAUCAGCAUGUCGCGGUGAAUGCGUUCCCGGGCCUUGUACACACCGCCCGU